rnacentral:lncRNA from 1 species
GAAGCAUUUAGUGCAUGUCUUUCUUCUCCAAAACUUCUCCUGGUCCUCAUGAAUCAACAAACGCAAAACAAGUCCAGAAAAUAUCAAUUUGUCACUAGAAUAAGCAAUGCUUAUGUUUGAUUUGAUCGACAACCUACCUUCAAAAAAGAAAAAGAAAAAAAAGGCUACAAGGAUGAUUUUGAUUGAGUUUCCCAAAGCCAAGAAACAAUGUACCAAA